rnacentral:rRNA from 1 species
AUUGAACGCUGGCGGCAGGCCUAACACAUGCAAGUCGAACGGUAACAGGAAGAAGCUUGCUUCUUUGCUGACGAGUGGCGGACGGGUGAGUAAUGUCUGGGAAACUGCCUGAUGGAGGGGGAUAACUACUGGAAACGGUAGCUAAUACCGCAUAACGUCGCAAGCCCAAAGAGGGGGACCUUCGGGCCUCUUGCCAUCGGAUGUGCCCAGAUGGGAUUAGCUAGUAGGUGGGGUAACGGCUCACCUAGGCGACGAUCCCUAGCUGGUCUGAGAGGAUGACCAGCCACACUGGAACUGAGACACGGUCCAGACUCCUACGGGAGGCAGCAGUGGGGAAUAUUGCACAAUGGGCGCAAGCCUGAUGCAGCCAUGCCGCGUGUAUGAAGAAGGCCUUCGGGUUGUAAAGUACUUUCAGCGGGGAGGAAGUGAGUAAAGUUAAUACCUUUGCUCAUUGACGUUACCCGCAGAAGAAGCACCGGCUAACUCCGUG